rnacentral:rRNA from 1 species
CCUACGGGGGGCAGCAGUAGGGAAUUUUCGUCAAUGGGCGCAAGCCUGAACGAGCGAUGCCGCGUGAGUGAAGAAGGCCUUCGGGUCGUAAAGCUCUGUUGCGGGGAAAAAAGGCAGCAUCAGGAAAUGGGUGCUGACUGAUGGUGCCCCGCCAGAAAGUCACGGCUAACUACGUGCCAGCAGCCGCGGUAAUACGUAGGUGGCGAGCGUUAUCCGGAAUGAUUGGGCGUAAAGGGUGCGCAGGCGGAAGAUCAAGUCAGCGGUAAAAUUGAGAGGCUCAACCUCUUCGAGCCGUUGAAACUGGU